GACGUAGGUGGCGGACGUUAUCCGGAAUUAUUGGGCGUAAAGGGUGCGUAGGUGGCGCGCUAAGUCGGGUGUGAAAUUUCGGAGCUUAACUCCGAAACUGCAUUCGAUACUGGCGUGCUUGAGGACUGGAGAGGAGACUGGAAUUCAUGGUGUAGCAGUGAAAUGCGUAGAGAUCAUGAGGAAGACCAGUGGCGAAGGCGGGUCUCUGGACAGUUCCUGACACUGAGACACGAAGGCCAGGGGAGCAAACGGG
rnacentral:rRNA from 1 species